AGCGGAAACGGUGCGGGGUGUGCGUGCCCUGCAAGCGGCUCAUCAACUGUGGAGUCUGCAGCAGUUGCAGGAACCGCAAAACGGGACACCAGAUCUGCAAGUUUAGGAAAUGCGAAGAGCUUAAGAAAAAGCCGGGCACGUCGCUAGAGAGAACACCUGUUCCCAGCGCUGAAGCAUUCCGAUGGUUCUUUUAAGCAGUAGUGUAUCUUAUUUUCAAGGCAGUCCGAAGUGAAUGGCAAGCUAAAGUCUUGUUUUAAGAAACUGCUUAGUCCACCAUUGAAGAAUAUACUCAGAUACUAUUUUCAUUUCUGUAUAGGGGUUUCCUCAAAAAACAAACCACAAAAAAUCUGGGAGCCUGGGGAAUUGGCCAGUCGAUCCACAUUCAGUACACUGGUUCUUUCUUUGAUGUAACUUAGCUAUACUAGUGAAGUUGUUGUCUAUUUUUAAAGUGGCUGUAAAAAAAAAAAAAAAAACUUUGGGUAAACCCCUGCUAUAAAGUCAUGUAUCUUUGAAAAGUAACAUAUCUAUACUUCAUUUUCGAAUAUAUGUGUUCCAGUACUGUAAACUGUACAGAUAGCAGCUUGUAUUUUGUGUGUUUAGACACAAGGAGACAAUCACGUCUGAGCAUCUAUGGAGAUGAACGGUUUGUACACAACGGUGUGGUUCUGCGAGUUAAAUCUGGAGCAAUAAAUCCUAGCUUUAAAUAUUAUUUUGCUAGUUGUUUAGCAGCAGCAGCAACAGCAGCACUGUUUUACCAUGCAGCCUUCCAUAGAGACUUGAUGCCAAGUUUUACACGAUAAAAAAGAUUACGACGCAUCUAGCAAUUGCCUUCCGCCAUGGUGGUGUGUGAGGGGAAGACAUAAAAUUUAAAAUUAAUCUUUCGAGCACUGUAUUAGAGUAGUGGUUUGCUUGCAUUGCUUCCAGGAGAACUUUACAGAAGGGUCUCUCUCUCUCCCCAAAAGGCUCUAUGGUGUGGGCUUGCUUUUGGCUGUGCUGUAAGGCGGGCUGCACGACAUAGGUGGCCGUGCAAAACCAGUCGUCUGUAGAAAGCUUGUUCUGGGAUACUGAGUGAAGUGAGUACGAGACCGUAGGAAAAGCGAUGACGCCGUCAAAGUGCCCUCCGUCUGUGAGUUCUCGUGUAAGCUUUUCAGCCAAUGGAGGAAGUUAUAAAGUUGAAUGCAAUAUUUUUGUUCCACAUAGAGCUCUCCACCAUUAAGCGAGUUACGACGUUGAUACUGGUUUGGGUCUCACUUGCCGUUAUACUCAACUGAGAGCCUGAAUAUUUGGGGGGGUGUGAAAUUUACCUUUAUUUUAUAAUUUACAAAACAUGAAUGCUUCUUGCACACACGUCUGGGUCCGCUGAUCUGGACUGUGUUGAACCACCAGCCCUACCAUCCUGCUUCCUGCCCUUGCUGUGCACAUAAAACGUUUGCUCCUUGAAAAGGCAGCUUAUGGAAGAUACUGAACUU